AUGAACGCUGGCGGCGUGCCUAAUACAUGCAAGUCGAGCGAACGGACGAGAAGCUUGCUUCUCUGAUGUUAGCGGCGGACGGGUGAGUAACACGUGGAUAACCUACCUAUAAGACUGGGAUAACUUCGGGAAACCGGAGCUAAUACCGGAUAAUAUUUUGAACCGCAUGGUUCAAAAGUGAAAGACGGUCUUGCUGUCACUUAUAGAUGGAUCCGCGCUGCAUUAGCUAGUUGGUAAGGUAGCGGCUUACCAAGGCAACGAUGCAUAGCCGACCUGAGAGGGUGAUCGGCCACACUGGAACUGAGACACGGUCCAGACUCCUACGGGAGGCAGCAGUAGGGAAUCUUCCGCAAAGGGCGAAAGCCUGACGGAGCAACGCCGCGUGAGUGAUGAAGGUCUUCGGAUCGUAAAACUCUGUUAUUAGGGAAGAACAUAUGUGUAAGUAACUGUGCACAUCUUGACGGUACCUAAUCAGAAAGCCACGGCUAACUACGUG
rnacentral:rRNA from 1 species